rnacentral:piRNA from 1 species
UGGCCAUUUUGGUGUUUCAGUCCCUUCU